GAUGUUGAGGUUGUGUUUUACAGUGUCAGUAUUAUUGAAAUAUGGGAUUUGAUUGUGCUAAGUGAAAUAACCCAGUGUCAAAAAAGGCACAAGAACAGCAGGCGUGGGCUUGGAGUGAGGACUGCUAGUGGUAUCGCUAACAAGCCUCUGGAUUUCUCUGAGGGCAGGGCAGGAGGUAUCUAGAGAGAGACCUUUUGCGGGUGGAGGCUGCAGGGCUGGAGGUGCCCGGCAUCCUGGCUCUGCGCUCAGCGGCAGUAACCGGCGGGGCUGAAGCGAGCAGGCGUGGAGCUCAGCAGCUUGCCGAGCCACUCUCUUCUUCACAUGCCACAAGUGUGACGUCAGCGUGAUCCCAGCUUGUGUCUGUGUCUGGAUACGCAGUUCAGAUAGGCCUCUCUAGCGCAAGUCUCAGGAGAUGAUGUGAUCUGCUGCGGAACAAACAAAAUAUGUAUUUAUUUACUUAUUCUCAAUUUGUGAUGUGUUCUUAGAAUUUCCAAAACCUUGAAGGUUGUGAAAUGAGUUCCUGCAUGACUAACAUUGCUACGUGAUUCCUUACUUUCCUUAGAAUCCUUGAAACUAUGUUGCAUAAAUCAGAAGUCUUGCUGCAUAAUUCAGGUAUGAUGUACAGUAUAAUAUGCAAGACUACUUAUAAUUACGUACUU
rnacentral:lncRNA from 1 species